rnacentral:rRNA from 1 species
UACGGAGGGUGCGAGCGUUGUCCGGAAUCACUGGGCGUAAAGGGCGCGUAGGUGGCUUGGCAAGCGUGUGGUGAAAGCCCGGGGCUCAACCCCGGGUCUGCCGUGCGAACUGCUAUGGCUUGAGCACUGUAGAGGCAGGUGGAAUUCCGGGUGUAGCGGUGGAAUGCGUAGAGAUCCGGAAGAACACCGGUGGCGAAGGCGGCCUGCUGGGCAGUGGCUGACGCUGAGGCGCGACAGCGUGGGGAGCAAACAGG